rnacentral:rRNA from 1 species
GUGGUGACGGAUAACGGAGGAUCAGGGUUCGACUCCGGAGAAGGGCCUGAGAAAUGGCCACUACGUCUAAGGAUGGCAGCAGGCGCGCAAAUUACCCACUCUCGGCUCGAGGAGGUAGUGACGAGAAAUAACGAGACCGUUCUCUUUGAGGCCGGUCAUCGGAAUGGGUACAAUUUAAACCCUUUAACGAGUAUCAAGCAGAGGGCAAGUCUGGUGCCAGCAGCCGCGGUAAUUCCAGCUCUGCUAAUACAUAGAAUUAUUGCUGCGGUUAAAAAGCUCGUAGUUGGAUUCGUAUCGGUACCCUGGAACCCUCCGGGUGUUUCUGGGUGUUAUCGAUUUAUCGUAAUGUUCGGUUUUGAGUCCUUAACAGGAUUCUUAACAGGCAUUGCAAGUUUACUUUGAACAAAUCAGAGUGCUUCAAACAGGCGUUUUCGCUUGAAUGAUCGUGCAUGGAAUAAUAGAAAACGAUUUCGGUUCAGUUUUAUUGGUUUUACGGACUGAGAUAAUGGUUAACAGAGACAAACGGGGGCAUUUGUAUGGCCCCGUGAGAGGUGAAAUUCUUGGACCGUGGCCAGACAAACUACAGCGAAAGCAUUUGCCAGGAAUGUCUUCAUUAAUCAAGAACGAAAGUCAGAGGUUCGAAGGCGAUCAGAUACCGCCCUAGUUCUGACCGUAAACGAUGCCAACUAGCGAUCCGCCGAUGGAAAUUAUAUUGCCUUGGUGGGGAGCUUCCCGGAAACGAAAGUCUUCCGGUUCCGGGGAAGUAUGGUUGCAAAGCUGAAACUUAAAGGAAUUGACGGAAGGGCACCACCAGGAGUGGAGCCUGCGGCUUAAUUUGACUCAACACGGGGAAACUCACCCGGCCCGGACACUGUGAGGAUUGACAGAUUGAUAGCUUUUUCAUGAUUCAGUGGAUGGUGGUGCAUGGCCACCAUCGGUGGCCAUGGAAGGUGGCCAUGGAAGUCGGAAUCCGCUAAGGAGUGUGUAACAACUCACCUGCCGAAUCAACUAGCCCUGAAAAUGGAUGGCGCUGGAGCGGGCCACCUAUACUCUGCCGUCAUAUGCUUGUAUUCCGUGAAGAGUCUGGCAAUGACGUGUAAGAGGGUCGUAGUGGAAGACUGAAGUGAAGACUGAAGUGGAGAAGGGUUCCACGUGAACAGCAGUUGAAUGUGGGUCAGUCGAUCCUAAGGCACCGGCUAAAGCCGUCUAGACACUGCGGGGAGAUGAGGUACUUAACGGUAUUUUGUCCACCCGGUUGCCGAAAGGGAAGUGGGUUAAUAUUCCCACACCAGGCAUGGGAGAUGGUGAUCCGCAAGGAUUACUUUGCGCGGUGACGCAAACGAACUCGUAGACCUCGUGUGGAGUCCGGGCCAGAGUUCUCUUUUCUGGUUUAGAGAUCAUGUCCCUGGAAGUGGCUCAGCCUGAGAUAGGGAUGCUGGUCUCGUAAAGCGCAGCGGUUCCUGUUGUGUCUCGUGUGCUCCACAUGAGCCGUGAAAAUGCGAGGGAGGCAAUUUAAAAUCUCCUGCCUGAUCGUACCCAUAUCCGCAGCAGGUCUCCAAGGUGAUCAGCCUCUAGUCGAUAGAAUAAUGUAGGUAAGGGAAGUCGGCAAAUUAGAUUCGUAACUUCGGGAAAAGAAUUGGCUCUAAAGGUUGGGUCAGUCGGGCUGUUGUGUGAAACAGGUGGACUUUGCUCGUGGCUGCUUGCGCUUCUUCUUACGGGGCGGCGCUUGUGGACUAGUAGUGAGGACUGCUUGUGGAGCGCUUCAGCUGCGUGCUAUAUCGCAAGAUAUAGUACUUCGAUUGGCGCUGAACAACCAGUUUAGAACUGGCACGAACUCCGGGAAUCCGACUGUCUAAUUAAAACAGAGGAGACGGAUGGUCCUUGCAGGACGUUGACCGUGUCUGAUUUCUGCCCAGUGCUCUGAAUGUUAAGCCAAGGAAACUUGAUUAAGCGCGGGUAAACGGCGGGAGUAACUAUGACUCUCUUAAGGUAGCCAAAUGCCUCGUCGGCUAACUACCGACGCGCACGAAUGGAUCAACGAGAUUCCCACUGUCCCUAUCUACUAUCUAGCGAAACCACAGCCAAGGGAACGGGCUUGGCAAAUUUAGCGGGAAAGAAGACCCUGUUGAGCUUGACUCUAGUCUGACUUUGUGAAGAAUCAUGAGAGGUGUAGCAUAAGUGGGAGUCGCAAGACAACAGUGAAAUACCACUACUUUCAUCGAUUCCUUACUUAAUCGGUAAAACGGGAGUUGUGUCUACGGACCUUCAUUUUUGUUUUAAGACUAGCCACUCGGUGGUUGGUUGACUCGCGCCAUUGACAUUGUCAGGCGGGGACUUUGACUGGGGCGGUACAUCUGUCAAAUUGUAACGCAGGUGUCCUAAGGCGAGCUCAGAGAGGACGGAAACCUCUCGUUGAGCAAAAAGGCAAAUGCUUACUUGAUCUUGAUUUUCAGUACGAAUACAGACCGCGAAAGCGUGGCUUAUCGAUCCUUUUGAGUUUGUAAAGUUUACAGCAAGAGGUGUCAGAAAAGUUACCACAGGGAUAACUGGCUUGUGGCGGCCAAGCGUCCAUAGCGACGUCGCUUUUUGAUCCUUCGAUGUCGGCUCUUCCUAUCAUUGCGAAGCAGAAUUCGCCAAGCGUUGGAUUGUUCACCCACCAAUAGGGAACGUGAGCUGGGUUUAGACCGUCGUGAGACAGGUUAGUUUUACCCUACUAAAUACUUGUUGCUAUGAUGGUAAUCCUGCUUAGUACGAGAGGAACCGCAGGUUCAGACAUUUGGUUCAUGUGCCUGGUCGAUAGGCCAAUGGCGCGAAGCUACCAUCUGAGGGAUUAUGACUGAACGCCUCUAAGUCAGAAUCCCGCCCAGUCAUGAUAGCAAUAUAUAUCGCUCUCCGGUGUCGGAAGGCAAAAUGUAUGCCACUUUUUUUAGUGGUAGUACAAGCCCCAGUAUCUGGCAUUUUCCUUCUACUAUAAUUGGUAGUUGGUUGCUAAAAGCUUAGCACUCCUCGUGCAGGUGUAAACGUCGGGGCGCAAAAUCACUUGUAUACGACUUGAAUACUGGUCAGGGGGUUGUAUCCAGUAGAGCAGCUCUUCGCUGCGAUCUGUUGAGACUUAGCCCUUGAUCGGAUGAUUUGUCUUUUUU